UAAGUUAAACACAUCCCACCGUCUACAUCAUGUUAAUAGUCUGUCAAUCAGAUCAACGACUCAGAUGAAAUGUUCUGCCAAGCGCCGUGGUCUGCCAAUCCUAUUAGCGCUUCGUGGCCCCUCGCGCAACACGCGGAUCACCCACCGGCCCGCAACAGGGGAAUCGAUUCCACCCGCCUCCGCCUCCGCCUCCCUCCUCUCUCCUUGCUGCCGCUAUAGGACGCCGCCGGGUCGCUAUCAUCCCUCGAGCAGCGUCGACAACGCGGGAUGCAGCGGGCUCAACUUGCAUCUGCGAUGCCGGUGUUCCUCUCCUCGGUCGAGCGUCGGCGGCGGCGGCGCGAGAUGUAGCGGGCUGAACCUGCGUCGGCGGCGACGGCGACGGGUCUCCUCCAUUCCCCUCCUCAUGUUGCCCCUCUCCUUUUCCUUGCUUUCCUGCACCGGCGGAGAGGAAGACGCCCUCGGCUUCAUGGCCUCCUCUCUAGGGCCAAGUGGUGGCUAGAGGACACUCCAGGAGGGCAGCCAAAAAAGAAGCCGAGAGAAAAGGGGAGGCAGAAGAAAUCCGCCCGCACGCUCUCGCCGUCUCGCUCUACCUGAUGGUGUUGUAAGGUCGGUCGGACAAGGGAACCCGGUUGCUGCCUAAUGUCAAACGCCUUCUCCCUGAGAAUUGAGAUCAUGCUCCCAGGCUAAAUCAACACCACUUGCUGGGAUGGAACAUGGAAAGCUAUUGGCCGCUUGCAGUCUCACAAUCUGUCAGACGCACAAGUGGAGUUUUGUUUGGCAAUGCUUUUCUAUUGAGCAUAUUAAGAGAUCGUCAUUUGUCUGUCUUUUUUAUUAAGAAAUGGCGAGUCAUUUAGUAAGAGUUUGUAACUGGUUCAAGUACAUGACUGUCAAGAAACGGUGCGUUUGACAACACAUCUUCUAUCAAGUUGCUGGGAAUGUUGCCUGUACUCCGUGACAGUGCCACAACAUUGGAUUCAUGCAUUUGAUGUCCUCUUGGAUCCAGAUUAGAAUAAAACUAAAUGUGUUCCUUUAAAUUGCGUAGUUGCCUGAUUUCAUUUUUGCAAAUAAAAAAUGUGUUCCUUUAAUUUGGUGUAUGUAUUUGUUUUCUGUAACCUAUCAUCAUUUUCUUCUUUUUUUGCGCUGAAACAAAAUGCAUUCUUUCAUAUCAAAAAUUGCAAGAGCACACGAGCUGUACACAUAUCCUUCCUUUUCGAAUCUGCAGCCGCUUGCUUUGAUUGUUAUUUUUGGAAGGGUUUAGGCGAGUACGUCACAAAGGUAACACUGAUCUGCUUCACACUUGUUAUUUUCUUCUUCUUGGUAAUUUGUAGUUCCUUUGACCUUCUAAUUUUUAUACCACUAUUCUGCAUUGCAACCUUUUCUUUAAUAGGGAGACGUGCCAAAUUUUCAGUCAAUUAUAGCGUGAAUUGCAUAACCUGCAACAUUUGCCUAUAGCCGAUAGAAUCUAUGAUCCCACCAGGGCUAUCUCUAUGAGCUAAACAAUUAUAGUACAAGACACACUCGAAUUCAGAGUUUAGAGCCUCGUGAGCAAUGUUGUAAGAGCUUAUUGAUGAUCUGCUUGUUUCUCGCAAAAUUGGGACGUGUUGGAUGGUCCAUGUGAGGCUAUCUAAAAAAAAUUCCUCUUAAUUCUGUUUUGUUUGUAUGAUGGAAUUUGAUUAGAUAAGAAGCCACAUCUGGCGGCACCGUUCGUCUCAUGGGGCCCCCAUCUCGCUGCUCCCCUGUCUCAUGGCGUCCAAUAACCAAAGUGUUUUUUUUCAAUUGGUAUUAUUUCUUUGCUGGUAAUAUUUAUUAUUGUAAAUGGUGUGAUCUGAUGAUGUAUCCUGCAUACAAUUCAGUUAAUUAAAUGAUGCAGCAGUCACUCCUGUACAAUAUGAUCUGUAGUAUACCCAGCUCUAUGUGAGGGCAAUGUGAACCAAUGUAAAGCACUAGGUUCUUCCUAAAUAGCACUUGACACUUUGUUGUGUAUUUUGGACCUAUGAAGAAUUUAGCUCUGUAGAUGCCAUUGGUUUCUGGUAUAGAUGACAUCCUUGAUGCCACAGGUGGCUUUUCUUCGAAGAUUGUAUUCUUAUUCAGUACUGUGUUGCAGUAAAGCCUUCUCAUUUGUGUACAACUGUAACGAACCAAGUGCUCUUAUUAUUUGGGCGGUAAUCUCAUGCUGCUUAAUGUGAGAGUGAAA